rnacentral:tRNA from 1 species
UCCCUGGUGGCUCAGAUGGUAGAGCGUCUGCCUGCAAUGCAGGAGACUGGGGUCAGGAAGAUCCCCUGGAGAA